GGUCUUAUAGCUCAGCUGGUUCGGAGCAUCGUACUAACAAUGCGGCAGUCGAGAGCUCGAAUCUUUCUAGGAUCC